AAGCAAGAAAUUAAAGAUCCAUAGUUUUAAAGUUAUCUUUUGCAUAAAAAUGGUGAAUCUCAUAAUAAAGAGCUAAGAAAUAUUUUUAAAAUAAUUUAUAGUAUAUUUUGAUGAGAUUAAAAGGUUUACAAAUUCAAUUUAAUAAAAUCUUUAAGUAAUUGCAUGAAUUAAAUGGUUUUCUUUUUAGAAUGAGGAUGAACAAUGUUUUUCCAAAAAAUAUUAAUUAAAGAAAUUGAGCAAAGUUAGAGAUCCAUUUCUAUAAUUAGGCACAAGUUAGGAGGUAGAAAUUAAGGAUUUAAUUAAGUUAAAAAGGAGAAAUUAAAUGAAAUAGAUUGUACGAAAUAAGUUGAAUAAGUAUGUGUGAAGAGUCAUUGCAUGAACGCAAAGAGAGUAAGCUAGAUUGUUUUUGAAUGCUUAGUAAUAUGUAUAUUUUUGUGCUAAGCUCAAAACGAUAGUGGAGCCUCAACAAACCAAGAUAAAGGCAAGCGAAAAGUUGCCUAAUUCGACGAGUCGUGGUGAGCUAUAGGUAUUUGGAAGAUGGUAUUUAUACCCCCUAAUAGAUUUCCAACCGUUGAGAUUAUUGGUGUAAUGAAUAUGGUCGUUGGGGAUGUAAAACCAGAGCAUUUAUUUCACCAACAAUUAUAAAUGAUUCCCGAGUUAGCGAGGAGGGUGACAAAUUGGUGAUCCAUCGCAAGACAUUUUCUUUGAGUAUGAGUGUUGAACUUUUAAGCUCCAAAGUGAAGGCAAUUUUCAAUGGGUCGUAAAUGGACAUUACGGACUAUUUGUUUUUUUUGGGGGGAUUUUUUAACGUUAUAAUUGUUUGCUUGACUAGUUGUUUAGAUGAUUUUAUUACUUGAUUAAUCUGAUAAUAGUUAAAUGAACUAACAAUUUUUUGUAGAUAAGGGAGACUGUCAAGUAUCAAGGUAUGCCUUAUACCUUCUGAUUGUGUGAAUGAAAUGAUUAAUUUAGAAAA